GGUUAAGCGACUAAGCGUACACGGUGGAUGCCCUGGCAGUCAGAGGCGAUGAAGGACGUGCUAAUCUGCGAAAAGCGUCGGUAAGGUGAUAUGAACCGUUAUAGCCGGCGAUGUCCGAAUGGGGAAACCCAGUGCAAUUCGUUGCACUAUCGUUAACUGAAUACAUAGGUUAACGAGGCGAACCGGGGGAACUGAAACAUCUAAGUACCCCGAGGAAAAGAAAUCAACCGAGAUUCCCCCAGUAGCGGCGAGCGAACGGGGAGCAGCCCGGAGUCUGAAUCAGCUUGUGUGUUAGUGGAAGCGUCUGGAAAGUCGCAGGGUACAGGGUGAUACUCCCGUACACUAAAACGCACAGGUUGUGAACUCGAAGAGUAGGGCGGGACACGUGGUAUCCUGUCUGAAUAUGGGGGGACCAUCCUCCAAGGCUAAAUACUCCUGACUGACCGAUAGUGAACCAGUACCGUGAGGGAAAGGCGAAAAGAACCCCGGCGAGGGGAGUGAAAAAGAACCUGAAACCGUGUACGUACAAGCAGUAGGAGCCCACUGGUUGGGUGACUGCGUACCUUUUGUAUAAUGGGUCAGCGACUUAUAUUCUGUAGCAAGGUUAACCGUAUAGGGGAGCCGCAGGGAAACCGAGUCUUAACUGGGCGUUAAGUUGCAGGGUAUAGACCCGAAACCCGGUGAUCUAGCCAUGGGCAGGUUGAAGGUUGGGUAACACUAACUGGAGGACCGAACCGACUAAUGUUGAAAAAUUAGCGGAUGACUUGUGGCUGGGGGUGAAAGGCCAAUCAAACCGGGAGAUAGCUGGUUCUCCCCGAAAGCU
rnacentral:rRNA from 1 species